GGAGUAAACCACAGACUACGAGGGAGUUUGACAGCUAUUAAAACCAGGGCUCCACAGUUAGGAGCUUUGCAGUUUGGGGAGGGCUGUUUUCCAUGAUUGACUGUAGUAUGGUUCAAGUCAGAGGAAAGGAAGAUCCCUGGAACUCCAUCACAAGUGGUGCCUUAACGGGAGCCAUACUGGCAGCAAGAAAUGGACCAGUGGCCAUGGUUGGGUCAGCCGCAAUGGGUGGCAUUCUCCUAGCUUUAAUUGAAGGAGCUGGUAUCUUGUUGACAAGAUUUGCCUCUGCACAGUUUCCCAAUGGUCCUCAGUUUGCAGAAGACCCCUCCCAGUUGCCUUCAACUCAGUUACCUUCCUCACCUUUUGGAGACUAUCGACAAUAUCAGUAGGACUUCUUUCCUAGGAUUUCUUUAACAGAACGAGUUGUGGUUCGAGAAGGAUUUCAGAAGAUCAAGUUACAGUCUGUUUUUAAAACCAUAGGUGGGACAGCUAUGGCCAAUAGGCUAUAAAGAGACAUUUAGCACUUUUUUCUAUUUAAAGGAACAAGCGGGGAAGGGUGCUAAAAGAUAAUACGUUUAUUUAUUCACACUUGAAUUGCAUUUGUGAUCAAAAUAAAUGUUUAAAUCGCUAAAGGAAAAUACAGUAAGUGCUUGAAAGAUGAAGGACCAAAAGGCCAAAAAACAGUGAAAUAUGAUCAUCAUCUCCUUGCGGACUUCUCUGCCUGGUUUUGUGUGUUCUGUUAUUCAAACAAUAAAAAGCUGGUGGAACUUACUCUUUCUUUUAAGAUAAGUUGUAGACUUCGAUGUUUCAUGCUCAUGUACUUCAAAUAAUGCAUGUUUUAUAGUUAGUCCCUCAUCACUUGAAGUGACUUCUGAGAAUUAUGCAGAGUCAACAUGGAUCAUUUCACAGUGAGAUGCUUUAUGGAUUGAAGGAUAUGGUAAAAUGUUUAUAGUUUACUUUGAAAGUAAAAUAUACUAUGUCUUGGUUUUGAGGAUAUUGGAUACAAAACUCUCUUCCUUUAGGGCUACUGAGUCUUGAUUCCUGAUCAUCAGAAAUUUCACCAGAAACAACUUGCUUCCAAUAUACCCAAUUCUAUAUGAAGAAUUCAUGGAGAGUGUACUGGCACUGGAAGAGUUUAGUGUUUCUUGUAUGCUUGAAAAUAAAGUAUGUACUGUUUUGAAUGU
rnacentral:lncRNA from 1 species